CAUGUUUGAACGUUUGCAUUUUUCUUAUUGCUUCAUGUGAAGCUGCUCUCUCCACACAACUAAGUGGUAAUGGAUCUGGCAUUAUUCUUCAUCUUACCUAUUGAACCAGGCCAUGAUUACAGCAGUAUCUAUGACUGAGAAAUUGUGUGGCUGCUUUCAAACAAGUCACUGAAAGAAGUCACUGAAGAGGGGUGAAAUGUUAUUAUCCUGAAUAUCACAGAAGGGGAGAUGAUUUUGUUUGUACUACUGUGGAUGAAACCUACUCAUACAAAACAGAGCCGGAGAGCCUUAUUGUCUCUUACCGAGAGCCUAAUCCCAACCCCGGAUGGUCCAUUGGAUUUCCCACUAUGGCCCUGUUUUGAAGUCAAGUUCAGCUUUCAGAACUUUUUAUGAAAACACACUAAAUCCUCCAUGAACGUCCUAUCACUGAAUGAAAGUUACUGAAUAAUUCAUCAGAAUAAAAAUGUGAAUGCAUAAAGACAAAGCAAGGACUGAGAACACAACCAACCAAUGACUGCCCUAACUAGAGACCCAUCCCAUGGGAGAUAGCCAACACACUAUUAAUGAUACUCUGAUAUGCUUACAGAUAAGUAGCUAGCAAAACUGUCUCCUGAGAAGCUCUAUUUAGCAGCACAUGGAGAUCUGCAGAGACCCACAGCUGAACAUCAGGCAGAGCUCAGGGAGUCUUGUGGAAGAAUGCGACAUAGAAGUGAGCAAGCCGGAUGGGUCAAUAA